GAGCUCGGCCUCCGCCGGGCGGAGGAACGGGCGGGUUCCUCAGCUGCGGUCCACGGGAGCCUCUAAGUCCAGUAACGGAAAGAAAGCGGCGGUUUCGUCGCAUUUCCGCUGGCGGUUUCGCGCGCGGGGGGAGCGCGGGCGAGGCUUCCCCGGACUGGGGCGGAGACAGAAACUCUCCCCAGUGCCUGGGAAUUCUUCUUGGAUUACUGCGUUUUCAGCAGAGUUUUGUGAGCGUCUCACAUCUGCACCUGGAGAAGAAAGGUUUGUGCACGGGCUCUCCUGGCGUCUAUCUCAGCGCUGCUCUUCCAGAUGUGGAAAGCCUCGGCCGUCCACACUGUGUCCAUCACCCCGG